GUUUUGAGCCCCUCUAGUUUUUUUAUAUUUAUUUAAAAAAUGUGAUUGUAUGCUUUCCUGGAGAUUUAUAUAAUGGCUUUGAUAAACUCAAAGCAAUGCUUUCUUUGCAUUGAUGGAAAUGUUCUAAAGCUAUUUUAAAGUUAUGGAUGAGAGACAUGGCUGAGGUCUUAUGAGAACGUACCAAGACACAAAGGAGACAUUUAUAUUGAUAAGUCCCAUGCACACAAGCAUACAUAAGUUUCAUCAUAGAUUGGGUCAUCUUUAAAACUCAUUGCUGAAAACUCAGUCAGAGGAGGGAAAACUCAUGAAAUCUACCUACACCCACGUUAGAGCUUGCAGCUUCUGGUCUGGUGGGUUCAUGCAUUUCAGCCAUGUCUCCUAUGCUGUCAGACAGAUACCCCUCAUGUAGCCUGUUGGUCUCAGUUUGUAAGUCACAGACUAUGGUAAAAACAAAAAAGCCCAUUUACACAGCUCCCAUGUAGAUGUGCAAGCCUACCGGCAUGGCCAAAGGCUACUGCGUGAGCUGCAGGCACUGCAUCUGCAAGAACCAGCUUCCAUUCCAGCAGCCAUCAGAAGAAGAUGUAAAUGCUGUAUUGGCCUUGCUUUUUCCUAUCCCUCUUCCAUGAACAAUUUUCUCCAUCCCCUUUGGAUGCCCUUAUUUCACGUGGAUUACCAGUUGGAAUUGAAGCUCAGUACUGGCUAUGGUCACUAGAAAGCACUGGGGUUCUCCAGAGAGGAGGACACACAGCUGCCUGCAGUUUCUGACUGUGUUUGUUCACUCCAACCAGGGAAGCCCUAUCUGACAGCAGUAGCAGGUGAGAAAAUUAUUUCAGACUCAUCCCCAUCUGAGGUGCAUCUCAGGACAGAGCCCAGAGCCUGUUUGCCAUGGAUGAUGGCUGCGGUAACAUUCCUCCAACCAAAAAAAUAUCAGCCGUAUUGUAAAUAAACUUAUGAUAAUUUUUAUAAGCA
rnacentral:lncRNA from 1 species